AUCUAACUGACGAGUUCCAAAUAGGACGAAACACACGUCUUGUGU
rnacentral:hammerhead_ribozyme from 1 species